GUGCCAGCCGCCGCGGUAAUACGGAGGGUGCAAACGUUGCUCGGAAUCAUUGGGCGUAAAGCGCACGUAGGCGGUCCGCUAAGUCGGGUGUGAAAGCCCUCGGCUCAACCGAGGAAGUGCAUUCGAAACUGACGGACUUGAGUAUGGAAGAGGGUCGUGGAAUUCCCGGUGUAGAGGUGAAAUUCGUAGAUAUCGGGAGGAACACCAGUGGCGAAGGCGGCGACCUGGGCCAAUACUGACGCUGAGGUGCGAAAGCGUGGGGAGCAAACAGGAUUAGAUACCCUAGUAGUCC
rnacentral:rRNA from 1 species